ACCUGGAUGGCUCAGUAGGUUGAGCACCUGACUUCGGCUCAGGUCAUGAUCUCACGGUUUGUGAGUUCGAGCCCCGCAUCGGGCU
rnacentral:tRNA from 1 species